rnacentral:lncRNA from 1 species
UUUAAUAAUUGCCAUUAAGACAAACCCAUCAAAAGGGGUAGCAGCACUCUUAACCAUUGCAUUUAAUCUGAUAAAUUAUGACUUGCAUUCAAUAAUUGCCAUUAAGACUAACCCAUCACAAGGGGUAGCGGCACUCUCACCAUGCCGAUCUACAGAUGAUCUUUGCCUUUGCUGUACACUGACUUGGUCUUCAGGCUACUGUCCACACUGAGAAAUUUGGUGGCUGAUGAUUCUGCCGUUUCAUCUUUCUUGUGCAGUUGAGGUGCUGAGUGAAAUCAUGAAGGAUCAUGAUGUUGAUCGAAGCCAUCGACGAAUAACAUCAUAUGAAACCUACAAGAAUUCAAAGUACACCAUCUUCUUGUUAGAAGAGUUGGAAAAGAACAAAAGUUUGUGGAUCUGUCAAAUGAGAAAACCAAGCACAAUCAUACAUGUAGAAGCCACCAAUGCCAUCUCCACAGAAGACUUCACCUGGAACUUCAAAAGCCAUGCAUGUCAAGACUGAUAAGCAGAGAUCAACCACAAGAACUGAUCACACAGUUACAGUCUCGUAGAAAUGUGAAAAAUUAACUUUGGUGCUCUUCAAAAUCAUAUAAUUAAUCUAUUUUGUAAUUAAAAAUCUGUCACUUCCAAGGAGUCACUUGCACCAACCGGGCAUGGAUGAUACAUAUCUAGCUAGCACUUGGAAGACUAGUCACAGACAGAACAUUGUCAACAAACAACUCUGGAAAAGAGGGAAAAAGCAAAUUCUAAAACAUGAUCAAACUCUGCAAAGGACCUUAC